GGAGAGGUGGCCGAGUGGUUUAAGGCGGCGGUCUUGAAAACCGUUGAACUCGAAAGGGUUCCAGGGGUUCGAAUCCCUUCCUCUCCGCCA
rnacentral:tRNA from 1 species